GACGAACGCUGGCGGCGUGCUUAACACAUGCAAGUCGAACGGAAAGGCCCUGCUUUUGUGGGGGGCUCGAGUGGCGAACGUGUGAGUAACACGUGAGUAACCUGCCCUUGACUUUGGGAUAACUUCAGGAAACUGGGGCUAAUAACUGAUGGGAGCUCCUGCUGCAUGGUGGGGGUUGGAAAGUUUCGGCGGCUGGGGAUGGACUCGUGGCUUGUCAGCUGGUUGGUGGGGUAGUGGCUUACCAAGGGUUUGACGGGUAGCCGGCCUGAGAGGGUGACCGGCCACAUUGGGACUGACAUACGGGACAGACUCCUACGGGAGGCAGCAGUGGGGAAUAUUGCACGAUGGGCGGAAGCCUGAUGCAGCAACGCCGCGUGCGGGAUGAAGGCCUUCGGGUUGUAAACCGCUUUCGCCUGUGACGAAGCGUGAGUGACGGUAAUGGGUAAAGAAGCACCGGCUAACUACGUG
rnacentral:rRNA from 1 species